UACAGAGGGUGCGAGCGUUAAUCGGAAUUACUGGGCGUAAAGCGCGCGUAGGCGGCUUUGCAAGUCGGGUGUGAAAUCCCCAGGCUUAACCUGGGAACUGCAUUCGAGACUGCAUUGCUAGAGUAUGGGAGAGGGAAGUGGAAUUUCCGGUGUAGCGGUGAAAUGCGUAGAUAUCGGAAGGAACAUCAGUGGCGAAAGCGACUUCCUGGACCAAUACUGACGCUCAUGUGCGAAAGCGUGGGGAGCAAACCGG
rnacentral:rRNA from 1 species